UACGUAGGGGGCAAGCGUUGUCCGGAUUUAUUGGGCGUAAAGAGCGUGUAGGCGGCCAGAUAAGUCCGCUGUGAAAACUCGAGGCUCAACCUCGAGACGCCGGUGGAAACUGCAAAGCUAGAGUCCGGAAGAGGAGAGUGGAAUUCCUGGUGUAGCGGUGAAAUGCGCAGAUAUCAGGAAGAACACCCGUGGCGAAGGCGGCUCUCUGGGACGGUACUGACGCUGAGACGCGAAAGCGUGGGGAGCGAACAGG
rnacentral:rRNA from 1 species